rnacentral:rRNA from 1 species
AUGUGACUGUUAGCUGGCUUUUCGAAGCAAUGUGCUCGUCCGUCAUCUUUAAUCUCUCCACCUGUGCACAUUUUGUAGUCUUGGAUACCUCUCGAGGCAACUCGGAUUUUAGGAUCGCCGUGCUGGUAAAAGUCAGCUUUCCUCUCAUUUCCAAGACUAUGUUUUUAUAUACACCAAAGUAUGUUUAAAGAAUGUCAUCAAUAGGAACAUGUUUCCUAUAAAAUUAUACAACUUUCAGCAACGGAUCUCUUGGCUCUCGCAUCGAUGAAGAACGCAGCGAAAUGCGAUAAGUAAUGUGAAUUGCAGAAUUCAGUGAAUCAUCGAAUCUUUGAACGCACCUUGCGCUCCUUGGUAUUCCGAGGAGCAUGCCUGUUUGAGUGUCAUUAAAUUCUCAACCUUCCAGCUUUUAUUAGCUUGGUUAGGCUUGGAUGUGGGGGUUGUGGGCUUCAUUAAUGAGGUCAGCUCUCCUUAAAUGCAUUAGCGGAACUUUUGUGGACCGUCUAUUGGUGUGAUAAUUAUCUACGCCGUGGAUGUGAAGCAGCUUUAUGAAGUUCAGCUUCUAAUCGUCCAUUGACUUGGACAACUUUUGACAAUUUGACCUCAAAUCAGGUAGGACUACCCGCUGAACUUAAGCAUAUCAA